rnacentral:rRNA from 1 species
GACAGAGGGUGCAAACGUUGUUCGGAAUUACUGGGCGUAAAGCGCGUGUAGGCGGUGUGGUAAGUCGGAUGUGAAAGCCCCGGGCUCAACCCGGGAAGUGCAUUCGAUACUGCCACGCUAGAGUAUCGGAGAGGUUGGUGGAAUUCUCGGUGUAGAGGUGAAAUUCGUAGAUAUCGAGAGGAACACCGGUGGCGAAGGCGGCCAACUGGACGAAUACUGACGCUGAGACUCGAACGCGUGGGGAGCAAACAGG